UGCACGUUCUGCUUCAAACACGCACACAAGCACCCCGAGUUGUCGUGAUCCGUCGACGUCGCCGUGCCGCAAUGUCCCGGAGCUCGUCUUCCGCUCAUCGUCUCCGGACACCCCUGCCCCCGCUGCCAUUGAUCCUGUGCCCGAGGUGUGCUGGGACGAGGACUAGAUGGUUUGUCUCCGGGAUAGACCGGAAUCCCGGCGUCCGUUUUUACAAAUGCCCGAAUCAGGGAGACGGAGGCCCGUGCAACUUUUGGUUGUAGGAGGACCAGUACGCGUUCUUCAUCACCGGCGUUGGCAUCAACCUUCUCAUCGAGGCGGUCGGAGGUGAAAGCAACGUGAUGUUUGGUAUCGGACGCGCCAUGAAAGAUGUACAUUUUUUUAGUCAAUGGAAAAUGACCAGUGUACAUAAUGCCAUGGCACGCGUACUACUGUAACCAAACACCGGGUCAUGAUUAAGAAAACGAGUAAGGACCACUUUCUGCCAAGCCUGAUCCAAAAUAUAUUCUCUCC